CCCCUUCAACUUAGUACUUGGUGGCAAAACCCUUGUUGGCAAUCACAGAGGUCAGACGUUUGCACACAUCUACAAGUCAUUAUGGUUUCGAGGCGGGCGUUUGGCAACUCGAUCUUCAGCUCCCUCCACAGAUUUUUCUAUGGAUUAAGGUCUGGAGACUGGCUAGGCCCCUCCUUUUUGAUCCACUCCUUUGUUGCCUUGGCUGUGUGUUUUGGGUCAUUGUCAUGUUGGAAUAACCAUCCACGACCCAUUUUCAAUGCACUUGCUGAGGGAAGGAGGUUCUCAACCUUUGAUGUGGUGUAAUUGCCAAAGAGCUCAUUUUUAGUCUCAUCAGACCACAACACUUUCACCCAGUUCUUCUCUGAAUCAUUCAGAUGUUCAUUGGGAAACCUCACACAGGUACAUGUGCUUUCUUGAGCAGGGGACCUUGCGCGUGCUGCAGAAUUUCAGUCCUUCACGGUAUAGUGUGUUACCAAUUGUUUUCUUGGGGACUAUGGUCCCAGCUGCCUUGAAAUCAUUAACAAGAUCCUCCCGUGUAGCUCUUGGCUGAUUCCUCACCAUUCUCAUGAUCAUUGAAACUCAACGAGGCAAGAUCUUGGAUGGAACAACAGACCGAGGGAGA